AUUGAACGCUGGCGGCAGGCCUAACACAUGCAAGUCGAGCGCGAAAGUCUUCGGAUGAGUAAAGCGGCGAACGGGUGAGCAAUACAUGGGAAUCUGCCUGGUAGUGGGGGACAACGUUUCGAAAGGAAUGCUAAUACCGCAUACGCCCUACGGGGGAAAGGGGGGGAUCUUCGGACCUCUCGCUAUCAGAUGAGCCCAUGUCAGAUUAGCUAGUUGGUGAGGUAAAGGCUCACCAAGGCGACGAUCUGUAACUGGUCUGAGAGGAUGAUCAGUCACACUGGAACUGAGACACGGUCCAGACUCCUACGGGAGGCAGCAGUGGGGAAUAUUGGACAAUGGGGGCAACCCUGAUCCAGCCAUGCCGCGUGUGUGAAGAAGGCCCUAGGGUUGUAGAGCACUUUCAGUGGGGAGGAAGGGUUGAUGACUAAUAUUCAUCAGCAUUGACGUUACCCACAGAAGAAGCACCGGCUAACUCCGUGCCAGCAGCCGCCGUAACAC
rnacentral:rRNA from 1 species